rnacentral:ribozyme from 16 species
UUGAGAAUCGAGAAAAAGAAAUUAUAAAGAAGAAUAGAAUGCUCGCGAAAAAAGUUCUGUAGGAUUUUUGAUGGUGCACUUAUAUUUAUUUAUUUAUUUCCAUCUUUGAUCAAUAAUUCCGGCG